rnacentral:sRNA from 1 species
AUGUCAAUAUACUGCUUUACUAAUUACAGUUAACAGCUGUUUUUUUCUUCCUUCUAAAACUUUAAUUAGUGAUGGAAAUCACAAUCAUUGUUUACAAGAGACAUGAGAAAGAAAGGGUAUGUAUGAUACAAAAACCAAAGUUGUGGACUUAUAAUAGCUUUUAUCGCUAGCAGGUCUGCACAAUUAUUUUGUUCACGAUGGGUGAAAGUAAAUCUUGAGUUCAUGAAACCACUUUUCCAAUGUUGUAUUGUCUCUAUAUAGUGUUUGAGUCGAAUAUUAUUGAUGUUCGCAUUGAUAACGUGGUUGAUGAUUUUGUUAUCACCUUAGAAUAUUAGAGAGCGGUAUCC